AGUGAACGCUGGCGGUAGGCCUAACACAUGCAAGUCGAACGGCACCACAGUAAGAGCUUGCUCUUACGGGUGGCGAGUGGCGGACGGGUGAGGAAUACAUCGGAAUCUACUUUUUCGUGGGGGAUAACGUAGGGAAACUUACGCUAAUACCGCAUACGACCUACGGGUGAAAGCAGGGGAUCUUCGGACCUUGCGCGAUUGAAUGAGCCGAUGUCGGAUUAGCUAGUUGGCGGGGUAAAGGCCCACCAAGGCGACGAUCCGUAGCUGGUCUGAGAGGAUGAUCAGCCACACUGGAACUGAGACACGGUCCAGACUCCUACGGGAGGCAGCAGUGGGGAAUAUUGGACAAUGGGCGCAAGCCUGAUCCAGCCAUACCGCGUGGGUGAAGAAGGCCUUCGGGUUGUAAAGCCCUUUUGUUGGGAAAGAAAAGCAGCAGGUUAAGACCCCGCUGUUCUGACGGUACCCAAAGAAUAAGCACCGGCUAACUUCGUG
rnacentral:rRNA from 1 species